rnacentral:rRNA from 1 species
UACGGAGGGUGCGAGCGUUGUCCGGAAUCAUUGGGCGUAAAGGGCGCGUAGGUGGCGCGGCAAGCGUGCGGUGAAAGCUCGGGGCUCAACCCCGAGUCGGCCGUGCGAACUGCUGGGCUUGAGCACUGUAGAGGCAGGCGGAAUUCCGGGUGUAGCGGUGGAAUGCGUAGAUAUCGGGAGGAACACCUGUGGCGAAAGCGGCUCACUGGACCACAACUGACGCUGAGAUACGAAAGCGUGGGUAGCAAACAGG